rnacentral:rRNA from 1 species
CUUGAGCUUUAUAAGAGGUCCAGCCUGCCCAGUGACUCUGUUCAACGGCCGCGGUAUCCUAACCGUGCGAAGGUAGCGUAAUCACUUGUUCUUUAAAUGCGGACUAGUAUGAAUGGCACUACGAGGGUUAUACUGUCUCCUUUUUCUAAUCAGUGAAACUAAUUUUCCCGUGAAGAAGCGGGGAUAUAACUAUAAGACGAGAAGACCCUAUGGAGCUUUAAACAACCCAGCAAUUACUUCUAAAAUUAUAAAUUUCAGAAUAUCCACUUUUUAAGUUAUAUGUCUGCAAGUUUUUGGUUGGGGUGACCAUGGAGUAUAACAUAACCUCCAUAUUGAAUGAAUUCCCUUCUAAGCUAAAAAUUACCAAUUGAAGCAUCAACAUACUGACAUCUAUUGACCCAAUAUAUUUGAUCAACGAACCAAGUUACCCUAGGGAUAACAGCGCAAUCCACUUCAAGAGCCCCUAUCGACAGGUGGGUUUACGACCUCGAUGUUGGAUCAGGGUAUCCCAGUGGCGCAGCC